rnacentral:rRNA from 1 species
GCGACUGACGGAGGAUCAUUA